rnacentral:sRNA from 1 species
AACGCAUCUAGGUUAGCUCCCGAAAGCAAGAAACCUUAUCUUGUUGAUGCGUUCCUAUCAUAAGGG